GACCGACCGUAACUUCCUCUCCACGGCUGAGUUGGCCAGCGGCCUGGAGUCCAGUGACGACGACUCGUCGCCGGGCUCUGACGAGUUCGAGCCGGCGCUGGACGACGACGAAGUUCUCCGGUUGGCCGAGAGAUGGCAUCUCCUCCACACGGACCUGGCCUCGGAAGACGGCAGUGAUCUGUACGAGUCGGAUGGCGUCGAGCACGCCGACGAAGACUCCGACACCGUGACCCAGUCGGAGACGGAAGAGGAGGUGUCG